rnacentral:rRNA from 1 species
GUGUCAGCCGCCGCGGUAAUACGUAGGGUGCGAGCGUUAAUCGGAAUUACUGGGCGUAAAGCGUGCGCAGGCGGCUUUUUAAGCCAGAUGUGAAAUCCCCGGGCUUAACCUGGGAACUGCAUUUGGAACUGGAAGGCUAGAGUGCGGCAGAGGGGGGUAGAAUUCCACGUGUAGCAGUGAAAUGCGUAGAGAUGUGGAGGAAUACCGAUGGCGAAGGCAGCCCCCUGGGUCGACACUGACGCUCAUGCACGAAAGCGUGGGGAGCAAACAGGAUUAGAUACCCUAGUAGUCC